CGCCCGGUCCCAUUCCGAACCCGGAAGCUAAGGCCUGGCACGGCGAUGGUACUGCACCCGACAGGGUGUGGGAGAGUAGCACGCCGCCGCAC
rnacentral:rRNA from 3 species